ACGCUCGACACCUACGGGAGGCAGCAGUGGGGAAUAUUGGGCAAUGGGCGAAAGCCUGACCCAGCAACGCCGCGUGAGGGAUGAAUGUUUUCGGAUUGUAAACCUCUGUCCUCAGGGACGAAGGACGUGACGGUACCUGAGGAGGAAGCCCCGGCUAACUACGUGCCUGCAGCCGCGGUAAUCUGAGCGGGCUGGCAAGGC
rnacentral:rRNA from 1 species